rnacentral:rRNA from 1 species
GAUAAAGGGGAGAACCAAAGCGGCACUCCCAGUCAAACAUGCCCAAGGGCCUAUCACCGCGGAGUUCUGCCAUUGGCCUCUCGACCGAUCACCUUCGACCAUCAAGAUUACUCAGCAAGUAUCCGGAAUGCAGGGUGGGCUGCCCUGGUAUUAGAUCCAAUAAUUGACGGAUACCACUUCACACGAGUCCUGAUGGACGGCGGCAGCAGCUUAAACCUGAUAUAUCAGGACACAAUCCGCAAAAUGGAGAUAGACCCAACGAAAAUUCGCCACGACAAUACUACCUUUAGAGGAGUAACGCCAGGCCCAGGGGCUCAUUGCACGGGCUCCCUGCUACUAGAGGUUAUAUUCGGCUUCCCCGAUCACUUCCCUAGCGAAAAUUUAACCUUCCACAUUGCUCCGUUCCAAGGUGGCUAUCAAGCACUA